GCCGGAGUGGUGGAACUGGCAGACGCGCGGGACUCAAAAUCCCGUGGCCGCAAGGCCGUGCGGGUUCGACCCCCGCCUCCGGCACCA
rnacentral:tRNA from 1 species